GGACAUCUCUAGCCUUCUUGAACUUGGUUGUCUACACUAGAGGUAAGGGGAGUUAAUUUAAUUUAUUUUGUUUGAUUGAGUUUUGGUGAAUUAGUUUUUGUUUUGUGUUGAUGGAUAUGUGGUUGAUUGCUUUGUAUGAUUUUGAGUGCAUUGUUUAGAGAAUUUGAAUGAGAUUGUGAUUAUAUUUUAAUGGUUAAAUAUGUUGUGGAAGUUGGUGUACGUAUGAAGAAAGUUUCAAGAAUUAAUGUUGGAUGGAUUAUAUAAACGAUGUAUGCUUUGUUAUGAAAUUUAAGAAUUGACAUGUAUUUGAAUGGAUAUUGAAUUGGUUGGUAUAUAACAUUGUAUAUGAUGAUAUUAAGGGUAUGGAAUUAUUUUAGUAAAGGUGAUAUAAUUGUAUGAAGCAUUGGGAAAUUACCAAGUGAAUGGGUUGGUAAGUUCACUUUUAGAAUACAAUUGGUGUAUGAUUGAUAUUAAUUAGAAUGGGUGCAGGGUUAUAAAACUGGGAGCAUUUUGAUUGGUUAGUUUAACAUUGGAAGUGGUUUAUUAAGAUUAAAGAAAGUAGGAAAAGUAGGAAAAGUGAAAAAAUGUUGCAAGGAUUUAUUUUAACUUUGAAUAUCUAUAUAAUUUUAUUUUUUUUUUCUCUACUGUCCAGUUUUUGUUUAGUGCCGUAGGUACAAAGUUUUUGAGAAAAAAAAUCUUUGUUGUUAUUGCACUUAAUUCCUUGUUGUUUGGUGUUGUUUUGGCUGCUGUUAUUGCACUUAAAUCAUUUGCUGUUUGCUUUCAAAAAAAAAAAAAGCUUGUUGUUAGGUGUGAUAGUGAUGUCAUUGGGCCUGUUCUGGAAGCCCGACCCACUUCCCUUUUUGUCUUUUAUUAUCUUUGUUUCCUUUCUUUUACUGUAACAUGUACGAAUACUUUCUCUCUGCUUUUGUUCUCUGCUUUUGCUGUCAAACACGAAAGGGGUUUUUCCCUGCUUCCAUUCACUGUUCUACUUCUUCAUCUUUGCGUGUAAGUUUCAGCUUUUCCUUUGAUUUCUUCUUCUUCAUCUGUUAAUUGUUUUUCUUCCACCAUGAAUUGCAUUAUUUGUGCUUUAAUUGUAUGUUUCCUGAACAAUUGCAUAUACCAUUCUGAUAUGGUAUCAUAGCUCUUCCUUUGAAGGGCUCUGUUGCGCGUUCUCUGUUCUUUUCUUUUUCUCUUCCUUUUCUUUCUUCCUCCGUCUCUUUUCUUGUUCUCUUUACCAUGACAGAAGCCAACAGUUACCUCUACCUUCAUCCGAGUGAAAAUCCUGCCACUGCUCUUGUCUCGCCCGUUCUUGACGAUGUGAACUAUCAUUCUUGGAGUCACUCGAUGCUGACUACUCUAAGUGCCAAAAACAAGAUUGAGUUUGUUCUUGGUAAUCUUCGUCCACCUACAGCAGAUGAGCCCGAACACGCUGCCUGGAUUCGAGGGAAUAACAUGGUUGUGUCAUGGCUUGUCCAUUCCGUUUCUACGAACAUUCGUCAGAGUAUAAUUUGGAUGAACAAGGCUUCUGAAAUCUGGGUUGAUCUAAAGAACAGGUUCUCUCAAGGAAGUUUAUCUCGCAUCUCAAGCCUUCAACAUGAUAUCGCUACCCUUCAUCAAGGUGACCUCACCACUUCUGAAUACUUUACCAAACUUCGCAUUCUGUGGGAUGAGAUUGAAAAUUUUCGGUCAGAACCUGUCUGUACCUGUAAACCUGAUUGUGAUUGUCAAGUUUUGAAAAUCUUGAAACAAAGAAAGCAGGAAGACCAAGUUAUGCAGUUCUUACGUGGGCUUAAUGAUUAGUUCACCAAUGUUACUUCUCAUGUGCUCCUUUUGGAUCCCCUCCCAGACAUCACCAAGGUCUUCUCCUUAGUGGCUCAGCAAGAAAGACAACUUUCUUCCGGAAAUCUGGUUGUCACGACAAAGAUUCAAGAUAACAACAAUUCUAAUAAUGUCACAGCUUACACCGCUUCAACCUCUUCCACCGCUUGCAAUUAUUGUGGGAAAUAUGGGCACAGUGAAGCUGUUUGCUACCGGAAAAAUGGUUUUCCUAAUCAAGACAGAAGCUCCAGAAACAUUCAGAAUAAUAGAAGACACUGCACUCAUUGCAAUAAGAGUGGCCAUACUGUGGACGUCUGCUAUAAAAAACAUGGAUACCCUCCAGGACAUAAACCCCACAACAGGAGCGCUCAGAUUCACCAAAUCUCCGUUCAAGAAGACAAUGGAACUUCUAAAGACAACACUUCUGACAAUACUGAAUCAAUUCGUCUUACAUCACAACAGUUCCAAAUCUUGGCUAAUCUCUUCAAAAACCACCAUCUUAACGACUCCUCUACUUCAGCCCAAGUUCAUCACAUUGGCUCUGUUUCUGCUAACCAAGCCUUUUCAGGUAAUAUCUGUCCUACUCUUACCUCUAAAUCUUUUAAAAAUAAAUGGAUUCUUGAUUCUGGAGCUACAAACCAUAUAAGUGUUUUGUUAAAAAGCUUUUCUUCUUAUAAAAAAAUUAAACCUAUUCAAAUUGCUUUAUCCGAUGGUACUAUUGUGUCUUCAGAGUAUUCUGGAACUGUUAACCUCAACCAUAAGAUCCAACUCUUUGAUGUUCUUUUUGUUCCACAAUUAUCAUUUAACCUUAUUUCGAUAUCUAAACUCAUCUAUUCUAAUAAUUGUGAACUGAUUUUUUCCUUAGAUGGCUAUACUAUACAGGACAUUCAGACCAAAGAGAAGAUUUCUAUAGUUAAACUCACUGGUGGCCUAUAUGUUUCAGAUCUUUCCUCAAAUUUGCCACUGUUUGUUCUAUUAACGAUACUGUAAAUGAUACUGGCCUAUGGCAUCUAAGAUUAGGACAUCCUUCUGAUAUCAGAUUGCAUACUCUCAAACUGAAAUACCCUUUCAUUGUUCAUCAUACUCCAUACAUGUGUGAUACAAUCCAUAUAAAAUAAUUGUUGUUUGUAUUAAAAAUUCUGCACAAAACCUGGCUGUUUUGGAGGAAAUUUAUAUAUCAAAAAGCUGUUGUUUUUAUACUAUUUUUUUUUUGUUAAUUUAUGUAAUUUGAUUUACUGUUUCAGCAUUGUUUUAGUUAUUGUUUCAACACUGAUUCUGUCCUAUUUUAAUUACUAUAUCUGCUGUUAAAAUAUUGUUGUUUGCUUGUUAUUACUGUUUUAAAAACCUUGCUUGUUUCAGUAUAAAAAAAAUACUGCAGAAAAUUAAUUGAUGUUUGUUGUCAAGAAGGUUUGUUGUUGUUGUAUUGGCUGUUUUCUGUAUUUUUGCUAGCUGUUUCAGCACUUAAAUCAUUGUUGUUUUCUGUACUAUUGUGGACUGUUUCAGCAUUGUUUUCUUUCUGUUUUACACUAAUAAAUUCUACUGUUUGGUGCUGUUUUGGGACACUAUUUUUACUGUUUGCUAUUUUUUUUUUCACAAUACUGUAUCCAAUGCUCGAUGUUUGAGUUAAAAUUAUGGACUAAAAUAAAAGGAAUUACGACAUGAUUAAAAGUCUUGAUUGGUGUGAAACUUUGAGAGAAAUUAUUGAUUCAAGAGGUAUAUCCUGUGAAUUAAAGUGGUCGGAUUGAAUAUGAAAGUAAGAUCUCUAGGUGAGAUCAUUUAGUGUAUUGAAUGAAUGUAAGAGGCUUCCAUAUGGGGGUUAUCCCUAACACUCUAACGGUCUUUCAUUCUCACUUAGAGAGGAUUGACGCGUGUGGUGAGAGUAGUGGGAGGUCCUAGGGUAGGCGCUAUCACUGGAGGUCUAUUCCGCGGUAACGAACUAGCCUUGUGUGUGGUCGGGUGAAACCCCUCGGCAAUGGCUUUGCAAUGCAGUAGAGGUCACCACAAGUGCACAACCCGUCCCAGCUCUACAUACAUUCUAAGUUCGGACGUGUCUAGAAGUCUUAAUAUGAUAAGAUGCUUGCUUUGAUGAGUUUUAUGAAAGUGAUGUCUAUGUUUAUGAUAACUUGCAAUCUCGUGUGUGUGAAUGUUCUUGGAAAUAUUAGAUUGAUUUAAAUUGAAUUGUAUGUUUGUUUGAAACCUAGCUCACCCUUGCAUUUGUAUGGUUGUAUGUGUUUGCCUUUUCCCUUGCGAUGAUAAUCCAAUCCUUUGGAUGUGAGCAGUAGGUGAUGAUGUGCCAUUGGAGUAGGCGUUGGAAACCGAGGAAGAUCCAGCCCCUAGUACUUAGUGUUUUAUUAGCUCCUAGCUUAGAUUAUCUCAUUUUGGAAUACCCUUAGUACUUAUAUAUUAUGAAUCUGUAUUUUGGAAAACUUCUUAGGCCUCUUUAAAGUUUAGUUAACCUUGCAUUUUGGAGAAGCCUUGUAAAUUUGUACUUAGGUUCCUAUUCGUUUUAAAUUUCCCCUCUAUUUAGGAUGACUGUAACUUAUACAUAUACUAUCAUCUACUACUCUUACUGCUUUCUUUUAUUAUAAUUGUUGCAUUCUAUAUCUAUAUACAUAGCUAUA
rnacentral:lncRNA from 1 species